AACGAACGCUGGCGGCAUGCCUAACACAUGCAAGUCGAACGAGACCUUCGGGUCUAGUGGCGCACGGGUGCGUAACGCGUGGGAACCUGCCCUUAGGUUCGGAAUAACUCCCCGAAAGGGGUGCUAAUACCGGAUAAUGUCUUCGGACCAAAGAUUUAUCGCCUUUGGAUGGGCCCGCGUUGGAUUAGCUAGUUGGUAGGGUAAAAGCCUACCAAGGCGACGAUACAUAGCUGGUCUGAGAGGCUGAUCAGCCACACUGGGACUGAGACACGGCCCAGACUCCUACGGGAGGCAGCAGUGGGGAAUAUUGGACAAUGGGCGAAAGCCUGAUCCAGCAAUGCCGCGUGAGUGAUGAAGGCCUUAGGGUUGUAAAGCUCUUUUACCCGGGAUGAUAAUGACAGUACCGGGAGAAUAAGCUCCGGCUAACUCCGUG
rnacentral:rRNA from 1 species